CCUACGGGAGGCAGCAGUGAGGAAUAUUGGUCAAUGGACGAGAGUCUGAACCAGCCAAGUAGCGUGAAGGAUGACUGCCCUAUGGGUUGUAAACUUCUUUUAUAUGGGAAUAAAAUGUUCCACGUGUGGGAUUUUGUAUGUACCAUAUGAAUAAGGAUCGGCUAACUCCGUGCCAGCAGCCGCGGUAAUACGGAGGAUCCGAGCGUUAUCCGGAUUUAUUGGGUUUAAAGGGAGCGUAGGUGGAUUGUUAAGUCAGUUGUGAAAGUUUGCGGCUCAACCGUAAAAUUGCAGUUGAAACUGGCAGUCGUGAGUACAGUAGAGGUAGGCGGAAUUCGUGGUGUAGCGGUGAAAUGCUUAGAUAUCACGAAGAACUCCGAUUGCGAAGGCAGCUCACUGGACUGCAACUGACACUGAGGCUCGAAAGUGUGGGUAUCAAACAGGAUUAGAUACCCCUGUAGUC
rnacentral:rRNA from 1 species